AUGGAGAGGAACCUGGGAGCUGUGCUGGGGAUUCUGUGGGUGCAGAUUUGCUGGGUGAGAGGAGAUGGGGUUGAGCAGAGUCCUUCAGCCUUGAGUCUUCAUGAGGGAACCAGUUCUGUUCUGAGAUGCAAUUUUUCUAUCACCACUACAAUUGUGCAGUGGUUCCGACAGAAUCCUAGGGGCAGCCUCAUCAAUCUGUUUUACCUGGUUCCAGGAACAAAGGAGAAUGGGAGGUUAAACUCAACAUUCAGUUCUAAGGAGCGCUACAGCACCCUGUACAUCAGCAAUGCCCAGCUGGAGGACUCAGGCACCUACCUCUGUGCAGGGCAGGCACAGUGCUCCCAGUGA